rnacentral:lncRNA from 1 species
GGUGAGGGCUCCUCGUCUGCAGGUGGGAGGCGAGGUGAGGCCUGCGUCCUCUGCAGGUGGGAGGCGAGGUGAGGGCUGCGUCCUCUGCAGGUGGGAGGCGAGGUGAGGGCUGCGUCCUCUGCAGGUGGGAGGCGAGGAGGGUUGCAUCCUCUGCAGGUGGGGAGGGAAGUGGCCGCCUCCUGUCUUUUUUGAAGCUUGCUGUGGAGUCUGAGGAAGGUCUGCAGGUCUCUGCUGCUCCUAAGGCUGACUGGCAGAUGAGGAUGGGUCUUGCGCUGAGCCGUGGGUCCUUUGGUUC